rnacentral:lncRNA from 1 species
CUGAAACUACUGGGUCAGAUUUAACCAAAUUUAGCCAAAAUCAUCAUUUGUGUAUCUACUUUGUGUGUUCGGGUAAAAAUAGAAACUAACUACAGGGUAAAAUGUAGAUUUUUAUGCCCCACCUACGAUAGUAGAGGGGCAUUAUGUUUUCUGGUCUGUGCGUCCGUUCGUUCGUCCGUUCGUUCGUCCGUCCGUCCGUCUGUCCCGCUUCAGGUUAAAGUUUUUGGUCAAGGUAGUUUUUGAUGAAGUUGAAGUCCAAUCGACUUCAAACUUAGUAUACAUGUUCCCUAUGAUAUGAUCUUUUUAAUUUUAAUGCCAAAUUAGAGGGUUUACCCCAAUUUCACGGUCCACUGAACAUAGAAAAUGAUAGUGCGAGUGGGGCAUUCGUGUACUGGGGACACAUUCUUGUUGAUUAUAU